rnacentral:rRNA from 1 species
GAUGAACGCUGGCGGCGUGCCUAAUACAUGCAAGUCGAGCGAACGGACGAGAAGCUUGCUUCUCUGAUGUUAGCGGCGGACGGGUGAGUAACACGUGGAUAACCUACCUAUAAGACUGGGAUAACUUCGGGAAACCGGAGCUAAUACCGGAUAAUAUUUUGAACCGCAUGGUUCAAAAGUGAAAGACGGUCUUGCUGUCACUUAUAGAUGGAUCCGCGCUGCAUUAGCUAGUUGGUAAGGUAACGGCUUACCAAGGCAACGAUGCAUAGCCGACCUGAGAGGGUGGUCGGCCACACUGGAACUGAGACACGGUCCAGACUCCUGCGGGAGGGAGCAGUAGGGAAUCGUCCGCAAUGGGCGAAAGCCUGACGGAGCAACGCCGCGUGAGUGAUGAAGGUCUUCGGAUCGUAAAACUCUGUUAUUAGUGAAGAACAUAUGUGUAAGUAACUGUGCACAUCUUGACGGUACCUAAUCAGAAAGCCACGGCUAACUACGUG